rnacentral:lncRNA from 1 species
UGAAAUCUCAUCUCAUAAAUUAUCAAGGCUGGUGGUGAAUAAAUGAGCCUCCCUUCCCUCACCAUCCAUAAUUUAAGGCGCAAUAAUUUGCUGCUAAUUUGUUUAAUCUUCAUGGGGAUUUUCACUAUCCAAUGACUUCUCCAAAGACCAACGACCAUUCUUUUCCAUCCCUUCAAUGUUUGGGUCCCGCCAACAUCUUGACCACCUGCACAAAUUUGGAUAAAAGCGAUCUUUCAAAAAUUUUCUUAAUCUUCAUG